AUGGAGGCAAAAAUCUUAAGUCUUUGUCUCUUCCCUCCUUGUUCUCCCUCUGCGUUGAGGCGAUCCAGGCCUCCGAUGUUGUGACCCCCACCAGGUGAUGAUAAAUAAGUCCUGCGGCUUAACCGUGCUCCGCGAACGGGCCGGUUCAAUCUCCGCGGCCCGGGAAAUUGAAGCUGCCAAAG